rnacentral:rRNA from 1 species
GCUUAACACAUGCAAGUCGAGCGGAAAGGCCUUUCGGGGGUACUCGAGCGGCGAACGGGUGAGUAACACGUGAGUAAUCUGCCCUGCGCUCUGGGAUAGCCACCGGAAACGGUGAUUAAUACCGGAUAGGACCACUUCACGCAUGUGAUGGUGGUGGAAAGUUUUUUCGGCGCAGGAUGUGCUCGCGGCCUAUCAGCUUGUUGGUGAGGUAACGGCUCACCAAGGCUUUGACGGGUAACCGGCCUGAGAGGGUGACCGGUCACACUGGGACUGAGACACGGCCCAGACUCCUACGGGAGGCAGCAGUGGGGAAUAUUGGACAAUGGGCGGAAGCCUGAUCCAGCAACGCCGCGUGAGGGAUGACGGCCUUCGGGUUGUAAACCUCUUUCAGUACCGACGAAGCGAAAGUGACGGUAGGUACAGAAGAAGGACCGGCCAACUACGUGCCAGCAGCCGCGGUAAUACGUAGGGUCCGAGCGUUGUCCGGAAUUAUUGGGCGUAAAGGGCUCGUAGGCGGUUUGUCGCGUCGGGAGUGAAAACACCGGGCUUAACUCGGUGCUUGCUUUCGAUACGGGCAGACUAGAGGUAUGCAGGGGAGAAUGGAAUUCCUGGUGUAGCGGUGAAAUGCGCAGAUAUCAGGAGGAACACCGGUGGCGAAGGC